ensembl:snoRNA
UCCCUCGGCUCUGAUGACUAUAUACUUUUUUCCCCAGCAGAUCGACUCUGUUGACUGUACAAAAUUUAAGCCAAACCGUCUGAGCUGCGGCA